rnacentral:rRNA from 1 species
CCUACGGGUGGCAGCAGUGAGGAAUAUUGGUCAAUGGACGAGCGUCUGAACCAGCCAAGUAGCGUGAAGGAUGACUGCCCUAUGGGUUGUAAACUUCUUUUAUAUGGGAAUAAAAUGUUCCACGUGUGGGAUUUUGUAUGUACCAUAUGAAUAAGGAUCGGCUAACUCCGUGCCAGCAGCCGCGGUAAUACGGAGGAUGCGAGCGUUAUCCGGAUUUAUUGGGUUUAAAGGGAGCGUAGGUGGAUUGUUAAGUCAGUUGUGAAAGUUUGCGGCUCAACCGUAAAAUUGCAGUUGAAACUGGCAGUCUUGAGUACAGUAGAGGUGGGCGGAAUUCGUGGUGUAGCGGUGAAAUGCUUAGAUAUCACGAAGAACUCCGAUUGCGAAGGCAGUUCACUGGACUGCAACUGACACUGAGGCUCGAAAGUGUGGGUAUCAAACAGGAUUAGAUACCCGGGUAGUC